CCACAUUGGUCCUCUUGUGUGUCUUCCAGGAAUUUCUGCAGCCAUGAUUGACAUGAGAGACCCUUACGUAUUGGAUGUUGGAUCAACACCCUUCAAGAAACUGUGAGGAACAUUCCAGGCCAAACCACAACAUGAAUGUGGAUAGUGUAGGCUCACAGACUUCGGAUCGGGAACGUGGACAAGUUCCCUGAUUUCAAAGCCCUGCAGUUCUUUGGAAUGGAAUCAGAUGUUGCUCUGAGAGAGGAGAUGGGGAAAAAAGAAAGCCUCCGCAAGGGUACCAGGCAGCCUGGGAGUGCGCCCACUCUCUACAGGUUAUCGCUGUGUAGAAAGUGCUUCCAAUGCCAUCAAAUUGAAGGAUCCACUCGAAUGAACGAAAGCAAGAUCUGUCCAGAACUGGUUAUUCCCGACAUCCCUGAGGGGCCAUCACCUCCUCCAAGCACUUGAGAAAACUCCAAGGACGGGAGAAGCUGAGGCUGUUACAGGCCCCGCCCAGCGGAUUGCUAGCCCCCCUCCCUUAGAAGAAGUCUCCCCUUCUUGACUUAAGACACAGUCACUGAGACUGUCCAGCCAUGCACCACGCAGCAAUGUUCCAGUCAGCAACAGAGCUGUGCCAGGCUACUUCCAUGGGUGAACAUGCACGCUGCUGACACACACGUCUCAGCACAGGUCUCCACCCGUGGAGUGACAUGAGUGUUGUAGAAUUCUGUGACGCUCUUAAAGUUGGCUAUGGCCAAGUGUCUCUGUUCAGUGGGAAGCAAGAGGAAGUAGAAGUUUUAGCUUUUAUUGGAUGUCCUCAGGAGAGGAAGUGUCCACUGCUUCCUCUUCUCCUCUUUUCGAGACUCGAAGGUGCAUGCGAGGACAAGAUCUAGAGCACCCAUCUUAGAUGAUGAAAGGAAGAAGUUGGGGAGGUUGGAUCUUUGAGUUGGAAGGAGCCUGGGUCCUGAUGACUUGGAGCUGCCUUAUCGGUUCAGGACUGUCUACGCUGGCAUGGCAGAGCGGUACACUGCCAGCUUGGCCACCUUGCUGAUGCUACAGUUCUAGUUCACCUUCCUAGCAGGGCAGUCACUGUGACACCGACAACAUGACCUGUAAAUGGGAUCUUUGCUUAGCCACAAAGCAAGGUUCUGGAAUUGCGUGGGGAAAGGGAAUCAGGGUGCCCCAGCUCACACUUCUAUUGUGCCCGGAGAAACAGAAUCCUGGAACACUUGAGAGUGGGAUUCUGGAGGCUCCUGCACUGCAGCCGUGGGGCUUUGGACAAGUCACUUCACUGAAGAUCAUGAUGAGGAGGGCACAACCCUUCCUAUAGGCCAGCAUGUGGCGGCAUGCUUGAUGGAGUCACCUGAGAAAUUAAAGCCCGAGAAUCCACUGUGGGGGCUCUAACUUCCCUGGUUAGCGCUAUCUGGCCACCUGUACAUUUUAAAGCAUCUCCAGCUCUUUAUGGACUCAAGAAUGACUAAAUUAAAGGACUCUGGUGGGAGGGCUUUCUAUAAAUCAAUUCCCAUUUACCUAGUAUGCAAAUCAGAUGUGCCUGUCAUGAAUAUUCAUAGUCACAUCUCUGUGACAAGUUGCUCUGACCCUGUAGUUGCUUCUUACUAUGAUUUAAACAUUUGUUCAAAAGUCAAACUCAAGGCCCAGUGGGUAGGUACUAUGUAUGAAGUGGUGGGUUACGCCAGGGUAAUUAAAAUGGGACUGCGACCCUCUCUGUCCUCCUGGCUUCUGUCAUGUCAGAGAGCUUGUCCUUCCAGAGGACACAGCAGUAACAUGACACCUCAGAAGGAGAAAGCCGCUCUCAGCAGAGAGCAAAUUUGCCCAGUGCCCUGCCAGUCCAGC